GACGCAGAAUCAGUCUCAACCUUUAAGUCUUUAUUGAAGACUUAUCUCUUCAGUAGGUCCUAUGAUUAAGUAUAGUCUGGCCCAGGAGUGUGAAGGUGAACGGAAAGGCUGGAGCAACGAACCGCCCUUGCUGUCUCUGCCUUGCCGGUACCCCUCUCUCCACUGGGAUUCUCUGCCUCUAACCCUAUUACAUGGGCUGAGUCACUGGCUUACUGGUGUUCUUCCAUGCCGUCCAUGGGAGGGGUGCGUCACUUGAAUAUCAAGAUACCUUGUUGUGCCGUGGCGGAGAUCUUUGUGGGCUAUACUCGGCCUUGUCUUAGGACGGACCUGUGCCCUAGGACCAUGCCUCAGGACUACCUGGCAUGAUGACUCCUUGCGGUCCCCAGUCCACCUGUCCGUGCUGCUGCUCCAGUUUCAACUGUUCUGCCUGCGGCUAUGGAACCCUGACCUGUUCACUGGACGUGCUUGUUGCACCCUCGACAACUACUAUGAUUAUUAUUAUUUGACCAUGCUGGUCAUUUAUGAACAUUUUAACAUCUUGACCAUGUUCUGUUAUAAUAUCCACCCGGC
rnacentral:lncRNA from 1 species